rnacentral:lncRNA from 1 species
UUUUUAGUGCUGGAAAUGGAUCCUUGACAAUUGCUCAGAGCAAAAUAUCAGCAUUUUGGUUUGAAGGUAAAGAAUUAGCUUUUGCGUUUGGUUGCACAUUGUCAGUUUCAAGGCUGGGUAGUGUUUUUAAUUUUCUAUUCACAGAAUCUUUUGCAAUGAAAAAGGGUUUAAAUUGGACAUUGUGG